GGAUAAGAGAGAGGGGGCAGCCAUGAGGAGAGGGAUGCACAGUAGGUCUAGCUUAAGUGCUGCAUAUUUCCAGUUCCCCUAGAGUCCCUUUCACAUGCCCUUUCUCUUUAAAGUGAUGAGCUCUAUACAUUAGGAGACACAGGGUGGCGAUCUGAGGUGUGGCAGUGACAGCAGAAGUAGGAGCUCUGCAGGAAGUCCAGAUGGCAGUGUGCCCACUUCCCCAGCAUAGAGGGUCUCUGUCCAGCACAGGAAGAGGAAAGUGACAGCAAGCUGGAGGAAAAUGGGUACCACAUCGGAUGGAAUGCAGAGAAUUUGCUCCACUUUGGAAGUGCCUGGCCACAUCCCUAGUCUUGGAUCCCAAGAAUUCCUGACCUGAGUAUGUGCACACUUACCAUGAGUGACAUGGAGGGAAAAGAGCACCUCUCACCUCUCCUACUUUGCAGACUAGCAUGGCAUUGUCGGAGCUCCAGAGGAACUCAGAGAUUCCACACAGCAACAGAAGGCCAUGCUGUGGAGGACAAUGACAUGGUUUCUCUUCUACCAUCCAACUACAGACAAGGACUCCAAGUUAACAACAAGAACUGUGGAAUCUACAGGAGUGGUCCCUUGUGACAGCCUCCCAGUGGAUAAUCCAGAAAACCUGCCUGACCAUGUAAACAAAUAUCUCAGAGGAACCUUGGGAAUUAAAUGUGUUUCCCUUCCUGAACUGUUGAGUGGAUUCGUGAGAAGGGCAGUAUCCAUGGACCACCUGUCCCAGGCCUCCACUAACAUGAAGAAGGAGAACUUGAGGUCAUACCCUCGGCCCAUCUUUCACUGGUAUUAGACAGAGACAAUUUUCAAACAAAUACUGAUGCACUGAAUUAGAAUAACAACAUAAUUUCUAUAAAUUGUCAUUCAGAAUGUUUGACCCCUGGAGGAGAGAAAUCUGAAGCUAUAUGAUCUCUCAGGUUCUACCAGUUGUUAUUCUAAAGGUAACAGAUGUUUGCACUUCAUCUAUAUAUUCAGCAAAAUCCAGUCUGAUGCUCAAACACAAGAUGUAAAAACCAACUGAACCUAAACCUAGAAGAGAGGGCAGAGGACAGGAGAGAUUCCUGCAGACCAUCAUCUUCUUCUUACAGGACUUCCCACCAAGUCUGAAAGAUCCACAAAGGGCCACAGGGAAGUAAUGGAGACAGGACACAUGGAACAGAACAGAAAGUUAAGUAACAGACCCAGUGAAACCCUGCCAGCUGAUGUUCUCAUAGUCAACCAGGGAAAUCAAGGCAGAGAGAUUGGCUUGUCCACAAAAGACUGCAGAAGAAGAUUUAAAAACAAGAAUAAGGAACCCCUUUU